AACGCACAUUGCGCCCCUUGGUAUUCCGAGGGGCAUGCCUGUUCGAGCGUCAUUAUAACCACUCAAGCCUGGCUUGGUAUUGGGGUUCGCGGGUUCGCGGCCCUUAAAAUCAGUGGCGGUGCCGUCUGGCUCUAAGCGUAGUAAAUCUCUCGCUCUGGAGUCCCGGCGGUUGCUUGCCAAAACCCCCUUUAUUUCUCAGGUUGACCUCGGAUCAGGUAGGGAUACCCGCUGAACUUAA
rnacentral:misc_RNA from 1 species